CUCGCUGUGUGUCCUGGAAUUUUACUACAGCAGGUGGCAGGGGUAAUUGGUCUACUGAUGGUUGUAAUACAAGACUUAAUACUACUGAUGAUCUCAGUUUCAUAGCUUGCCAUUGUGAUCAUUUGACUAAUUUUGCUUGUCUUGUGGAUGUAUCUGCUAGAGUCAGUGAACCUACCCAACCUCCUCAAUAUGUCAAUGUUACACUAGAAGUUGUAUCAAUUGUUGGUGUGUGUCUCUCACUAGUGGGACU